rnacentral:rRNA from 1 species
UACGUAGGGUGCAAGCGUUGUCCGGAAUUAUUGGGCGUAAAGAGCUCGUAGGCGGUCUGUUGCGUCGGCUGUGAAAACCCGGGGCUCAACCCCGGGCCUGCAGCCGAUACGGGCAGACUAGAGUUCGGCAGGGGAGAAUGGAAUUCCUGGUGUAGCGGUGAAAUGCGCAGAUAUCAGGAGGAACACCGGUGGCGAAGGCGGUUCUCUGGGCCUUACCUGACACUGAGGAGCGAAAGCGUGGGGAGCGAACAGG